GCUGUAGCUCAGUGGCAGAGCACUUGCUUAGCACAUAUGAGACACUGGGUUCGAUCCUUAGCACGGCA
rnacentral:tRNA from 1 species